UACCAGCACCCCGAGUGGUCGGGACGAUUAUUGGGCCUAAAGCAUCCGUAGCCGGUUCUGCAAGUCCCCCGUUAAAUCCAGCUGCUCAACAGAUGGGCCGCGGAGGAUACUACAGAGCUAGGAGGCAGGAGAGGCAAGCGGUACUCAGUGGGUAGGGGUAAAAUCCGUUGAUCCAUUGAAGACCACCAGUGGCGAAGGCGGCUUGCCAGAAUGCGCUCGACGGUGCGGGAUGAAAGCUGGGGGAGCAAACCGG
rnacentral:rRNA from 1 species